UGGGCAUGCCAGGCAAUCGCUGUAAUUCAUUAACGAAUUAUGGAGGAAAGUCCGAACUCUUUCCCUAUGGACGAAAUCUCGCCCAUAGGGAUGGGCACGGUGCCGGAUAACGUCCGGGACGAGUAAUCGUACGGAAAGUGUCACAGAAAACAUACCGUCCCGAUGCGAUACAUCGGGAUAAGGGUGAAAAGGUGCGGGGAACAAUAAAGUUCCCUUAAUGUAAGAGCGCACCGCGCCGUUAGUAAUAACGGCGGUCCCUCAUCAGGGACGACGGAAACGUCGCACGACAAACCCCACCGAGAGCAAGACCGCGUAGGUUUCGUUCUUCCGAAUCCGAUUUGGAAGAGAGAGAAGCCCACUCAAUUCCAUCUAUGGAGACGAAACGGGUAGGUCGCUGGAGCGUUGCAGUAAUGCAACGCCAAGAGAAAUGAUUGCCGCUCUGUGUUUUGCAGAGUACAGAAUUCGGCUUAUCGGCACGCCCUCAUG
rnacentral:RNase_P_RNA from 1 species